UGGGGAAUUUUGGACAAUGGGCGCAAGCCUGAUCCAGCCAUGCCGCGUGUCUGAAGAAGGCCUUCGGGUUGUAAAGGACUUUUGUCAGGGAAGAAAAGGCUGUUGCUAAUAUCGACAGCUGAUGACGGUACCUGAAGAAUAAGCACCGGCUAACUACGUGCCAGCAGCCGCGGUAAUACGUAGGGUGCGAGCGUUAAUCGGAAUUACUGGGCGUAAAGCGAGCGCAGACGGUUACUUAAGCAGGAUGUGAAAUCCCCGGGCUCAACCUGGGAACUGCGUUCUGAACUGGGUGACUAGAGUGUGUCAGAGGGAGGUAGAAUUCCACGUGUAGCAGUGAAAUGCGUAGAGAUGUGGAGGAAUACCGAUGGCGAAGGCAGCCUCCUGGGAUAACACUGACGUUCAUGCUCGAAAGCGUGGGUAGCAAACAGGAUUAGAUACCCUGGUAGUCCACGCCCUAAACGAUGUCAAUUAGCUGUUGGGCAACUUGAUUGCUUAGUAGCGUAGCUACGCGUGAAAUUGACCGCCUGGGGAGUACGGUCGCAAGAUUA
rnacentral:rRNA from 1 species